UACCAGGUGGUGUUAUUGCCCGGUACUAAAAGCCUCUCCACGAGUCAAUCUGUGCUAAGCAACGUAGUAGCAGGCUAGCAGCUAGGCACUAGGUGAAGCGAAGAUGUUCGGAGGGAUCAUCGGGGGUCUGACCGGGAACAAGAAUGGCCGGCUCAACGGCUCGGUGGUGCUCAUGCGCAAGAGCGUCCUCGGCUUUGACGUCACCAGCAUGGGCGCCACCGUCAUCGACAACAUCGGCGAGUUCCUCGGCCGCGGCAUCACCUGCCAGCUCAUCAGCUCCCCCGUCGUCGACCCAAACAACGGCAACCGCGGCAAGGUGUGCGCGGAGGCGAGCCUGGAGCAGUGGCUGACGUCCCUGCCGUCGCUGACAUCCAGCGAGUCCAAGUUCGGCGUGACGUUCGAGUGGGAGGUGGAGAAGCUGGGCGUGCCGGGCGCCAUCAUCGUAAAGAACAACCACGCCUCCGAGUUCUUCCUCAAGACCAUCACCCUCGACGACGUCCCCGGCCGCGGCACCAUCGUCUUCGUCGCCAACUCAUGGGUCUACCCGCAGUCCAAGUACCGCAAAGACGGAAGCGCCAUGGCCAUGCGCAGCCGCGCAGGUCGUGGCCACACCGGGUCGGAUUAAUCGCGAACCAAUAUUUCUCAGAAUUUCCCCGCACAAUUUUACAUAAAGCCCCCUAAAUUGAAUCGCGAUCAAUAGUGCGAUCCAAUUUAAGGGGUUUUAUGUAAUCGCGAUCCAAAUAUUUACGUAAAGACCCCUCCUCCUAGCUGUCCCUAUGGCUACGCCUUCCCGUCCGUCGCCGGCGACGGCCGCCUCGUCGUGGUAAAUUGACUUCCACUUCUCCUCCAGCUCCCACCCCCCUCCUUCCCUGCUGGACAUCCCGCUGCCCCGUCCCCCUCUUUCCCCGCCGGAUAUCCCGCUGCCGCAUCCGCACGCACACCCCUCCUGUAUCGUGUAGAGCCGCCGCUGCGUCCCUCCUCCUCCAGCUCUCCCGUCCUCUCGAGUCGAAACGGGCGCGCAACGGCCGAGGGGUCAGAGAUGUGCCAGCCGUGAGACGUUGGACUAACCGAUCGCCGGCGUUCGUGAACCGGCGACUUGAGGCGCGGCGGCGUUGGAGUGUCCGCCGAAUUGGGACAUCUCCCAUUCACCUGCGAAUGGAAGGGGCAAAAUGGAAGGGAAAGAAGAGCUCCCAAGAUUCUGUCAUCAUCCGUUGCAGAUAAGCUAUCAUAUGAAUUUGGGCAAUCGCUGAUUAGCCAUCACCUGUUUCUCCAUAUUUUCGGGUGACUGAGUAUUUGGCUAGAGGGCAGAGUUGGGUCACAGUUUCCUUCAAGAAGAAUACUACAGUUUAACACCAUGACGAAUAUGCUGAGCAAAGACAAGACAAAGCUAGUCAUUGUCAUUCCAGGAUGAAAGGCAGACAGGAUUGCAUAUGGUAGAUUAAUAUCCAUUCCUCGAAGGACAAUGCUAAUAUUUGAGGUGUACAUCACCAAAGUCUCACAAGGAUUUUUUUUUUUUAUGAAAAAAACUGAUAGGUCAAGAAUGGAGAAAAAAAAUUCUCGAAAGAACUAUGAAAAAAAUUAUAUUGAGCAGUACAAUUU